AGAGUUUGAUCAUGGCUCAGGAUGAACGCUGGCGGCGUGCCUAAUACAUGCAAGUCGAGCGAACAGAUAAGGAGCUUGCUCCUUUGACGUUAGCGGCGGACGGGUGAGUAACACGUGGGUAACCUACCCAUAAGACUGGAAUAACUCCGGGAAACCGGGGCUAAUGCCGGAUAACAUUUAGAACUGCAUGGUUCUAAAGUGAAAGAUGGUUUUGCUAUCACUUAUAGAUGGACCCGCGCCGUAUUAGCUAGUUGGUAAGGUAACGGCUUACCAAGGCAACGAUACGUAGCCGACCUGAGAGGGUGAUCGGCCACACUGGAACUGAGACACGGUCCAGACUCCUACGGGAGGCAGCAGUAGGGAAUCUUCCGCAAUGGGCGAAAGCCUGACGGAGCAACGCCGCGUGAGUGAUGAAGGGCUUCGGAUCGUAGAACUCUGUUAUUAGGGAAGAACAAAUGUGUAAGUAACUAUGCACGUCUUGACGGUACCUAAUCAGAAAGCCACGGCUAACUACGUGCCAGCAGCCGCGGUAAUACGUAGGUGGCAAGCGUUAUCCGGAAUUAUUGGGCGUAAAGCGCGCGUAGGCGGUUUCUUAAGUCUGAUGUGAAAGCCCACGGCUCAACCGUGGAGGGUCAUUGGAAACUGGGAAACUUGAGUGCAGAAGAGGAAAGUGGAAUUCCAUGUGUAGCGGUGAAAUGCGCAGAGAUAUGGAGGAACACCAGUGGCGAAGGCGACUUUCUGGUCUGUAACUGACGCUGAUGUGCGAAAGCGUGGGGAUCAAACAGGAUUAGAUACCCUGGUAGUCC
rnacentral:rRNA from 1 species